rnacentral:lncRNA from 1 species
AUGGUGCAAGACUGGAUGCCAGAGAGCUUACCCCGAAAUCAUUACCAGAUGCCAAAGAACAAACCUGAAGCAACUUCUCAAGGGCACGCAGCAACUGGUGGAAGAGCUCUGCAGUUGGAUGUCAGAUUUGUUUACCUUAGGCAUCUUCCAUCUUCGCCACCACUGCUGAAUCAGUCUUCCUUUAUGAAGCACGAUGUCCCCUUUGCAGUAGGCUGGAAAUGUGAGACGUGCUUAGGAGCAGUGCCUGGCCUGGGAAAAAGAAAUGCACCCCUCCCACCUAAGUACCACUGCAGUCCAGGUUUUAAUCUGAUAGAGCUGGGAAUGAAACUGUUCAGACUGCUAGAAGCUUGA